UUUGAUGGCGACCGGCGCACGGGUGAGUAACACGUAUCCAACCUGCCGAUGACUCGGGGAUAGCCUUUCGAAAGAAAGAUUAAUACCCGAUGGCAUAGUUCUUCCGCAUGGUAGAACUAUUAAAGAAUUUCGGUCAUCGAUGGGGAUGCGUUCCAUUAGGUUGUUGGCGGGGUAACGGCCCACCAAGCCUUCGAUGGAUAGGGGUUCUGAGAGGAAGGUCCCCCACCAUUGGAACUGAGACACGGUCCAAACUCCUACGGGAGGCAGCAUG
rnacentral:rRNA from 1 species